CUUUCACACUUUGUAACAAUUCUAUCAAUCUACAGCCCUUUUCAAAAUAAUAAUAAUAAUAAUAAUAAUAAUAAUAAUAAUAAUAAUUAUAAUAAUAAUAAUAA